GUCUCCGUAGCUCAAUUGGAUAGAGCAACUGCCUUCUAAGCAGUAGGUUAUGUGUUCAAAUCACAUCGGAGACGCCA
rnacentral:tRNA from 1 species